CCUACGGGAGGCAGCAGUGAGGAAUAUUGGUCAAUGGGAGAGAUCCUGAACCAGCCAAGCCGCGUGAGGGAAGACGGCCCUAUGGGUUGUAAACCUCUUUUGUCGGAGAACAAAACCCGGUACGUGUACCGGACUGCGUGUAUCCGAAGAAAAAGCAUCGGCUAACUCCGUGCCAGCAGCCGCGGUAAUACGGAGGAUGCGAGCGUUAUCCGGAUUUAUUGGGUUUAAAGGGUGCGUAGGCGGUCCGUUAAGUCAGCGGUAAAAUUGCGGGGCUCAACCCUGUAGAGCCGUUGAAACUGGCAGACUAGAGAUUGCUAGAAGUACGCGGAAUGCGCGGUGUAGCGGGGAAAUGCAUAGAGAUCGCACAGAACACCGAUUGCGAAGGCAGCGUACC
rnacentral:rRNA from 1 species